AAUGCUAAUAAUUAAGUCCAAGAUGUAUCUAGAAAUUAGACAAAUUCAAAUUCUGAAUUUUUUUUUUUGACUAAUUUGGAUAAUCAAAAUGCUGGUCCUUCAUAUUUUAUUAUAAUUUCCACACACAAAAAAAAGGUGACAAUGGACUUGUUGUAACUCAAAUGGUAAGAGCAAUUACCCCAACAUCUAAGGUCUUAUGUUUGAUUUUCCCUUCUCCCAAUAUUGCUAAUGUUAACAAAAAAAAUAAAAAAAAUUAAAGCGAGAAUGGUACCAAGUGUGCCUGUAUGGCAAGGCAAUGGAAAGUGAUAGAGAACUUGACGCAAAGUACAAAGUGAGAGAUAAUUAGAUGCAUUAAUUGCUUACAAACCUCUACUAGGUUCGAAUCAGAGUUUUAAUGAAAACUAUGGUUAGCGGAGGUACAUGCCAUUUUUGGUAUUUUGAAAAAGGCUUUUUAUCACAAAACGUUCCUGACGUUUGCGAAACUAUCAGAUUACAUCCUUAAAGUUAUUUGUAUCACUCAUGGUUCCUAACGUUAAUAUAGGUGCUUUUAAAUAAUCUCUCUGUUAAAAAAACUGUUAAAUUCAGGGAUAUAAUCGUCAAAUCAAUCUAAAAUUAUAAAAAAUAUAUAUUUUAUUUCCUUCCCUUCUCUCUUUCUUUUUUCUUCUUGGCUACCUGCACCGUUGGACAGGAACAACUUGAAGAAGCUUUGACAAGCCAAACAGGACCAACAAUCCAUUAUCAGGAGGUUCUUCAAGCAUCCUACAAGUCUGGGCCUUUCGGGCUUCUUUCUCCUCCUUCAUGGGUGUAGGGUAUGGCUUCCUCUCUGACAUUUUCCUUGGAGGUCUUGGUACAUCCGCAUGCAAAGGAUAAUCUGCAUCACCAACUAAGAUCAAACGUUGUCUUCCUGCCACCUCCUUGCUUCCUGCACAAAACGUCUUCUCCAUCCUCCCCUCCAUCAAUGCCCUCGCAAAAUUAGAACCUAUAACAUUCUACAUCGUAUGCAAAUUCGAUGUGUCACUACUACAAAAAUCGCAAUAGACGACGGUAAUCCACCAUCGUGUAUCUGGUUUUUCAACCGUCGUGAAAUCGACCGACAUCUUUUGAUGCAUAAAACCACGACGAUAAAUUCCCGUUGUCUAUUAUUUCUAAAGACGACGCUUUUACUCAAAACUGUCGUCUAUUAGAUGGUUUUUUUGAAAGAACUGUCGUCUAUUAAAUGUAAAGACAAUAGUUUUUAGUAAAACCGUCGUUGUUCUGAUGUAAAGACGACAGUCUUUUGGUAAAAACUGUCGUUUAUAGGUGAAGGAGACGAGUUUUAAAUACCGUCAUUAUUUAUAAUAUUCAUGACGGUUGUUUGUUA